GCUCCUGUGGCGCAAUGGUAGCGCGUUGGACUUCUACCAGACCUCUGCUGCCAGAGAUCCAAAGGCUGUGGGUUCGAGCCCCACCAGGAUAA